rnacentral:misc_RNA from 1 species
AUAUGGUGACAUGCAGCUGAGGCUGGAGUUGCGUGAUAGGGUGGAUAGCCUUUUCAAAUAUCUUCAUAAGUUAUCUUCUCUGAAGAGGAGGAACGCACCAUUGAGAGAAGGGACAUUCUAUUUGGAAAGCAACUUAGGUGGUGAUCCUGACUCAAAUAAGGGUUUACUCUAUAAGAUUCUAAGAAGCGUGUUGAGCAAAAAUGAUGUACCUGGGUUGGAGUACCAUUCCUCUACUGUGGGGCGACUUUUUAAAAGUGGCUUUGGAAGAUUUGGUCUUGGACAGGCAAAACCAAGUCUUGCGGACCAAAAUGUCAUAUUGGUUUUUAUCGUUGGAGGCAUCAAUGGCACUGAGGUGUGAAUUUCUUGGGCUGUUUUUGUUCAGUCGGUGCUGUUCUUUUUCCCAUAUUUUAAGCCAUGAUAUUACUAUUUAAACCAUACGGAAUGAUUAUCUAGUGAUGUUUUGCACCAAAGACCAUACUUUGAUGAAUCAUUCCAACUCUUUUAGCAGAACUAUAACAUUCAACUCACCUAUGGUCUUUUUUUUUUUUUCAAUCCUUUGUAAGGUACGCGAAGCUUGGGAAGCAAUAUCUGAAAGCGGAAGGCCAGACUUAGAAUUGAUCGUUGGCGGAACAACACUUCUAACUCCUGACAAUAUGUUUGAUUUACUAAUGGGAAAAUAUAGUUGCUUGUGAUGAUGUAUGUAGAAAAUAAUUUUGAACAUCUUAACGAUGGAAUAUACGUAGAAAAUAAAGACAAAAUAUCAUUCAUUAACAUUAUCAUUUGGGUCAUAUAAAGAGUUUUUUUUCAUUUA